CCUAGCCACUGGGAUCAUCCGACCCUCCUCGUCACCGGCUGGGGCCGGGUUCUUCUUCGUGGGCAAGAAGGACAAGUCCCUGAGACCCUGUAUCGAUUAUCGAGGUCUGAACAACAUCACAGUGAAGAACCGCUAUCCCCUUCCACUACUCUCCUCCGCCUUUGAGCUGCUCCAGGGGGCAACGGUCUUCACCAAACUCGACCUGAGGAACGCCUACCACCUGGUCCGUAUCAGAGAGGGAGACGAGUGGAAGACGGCCUUCAACACCCCAACGGGGCAUUACGAGUACCUCGUGAUGCCCUUCGGCUUGACCAACGCCCCCGGCAGUCUUUCAAGCGCUAGUCAACGAUCUGCUGCGGGACAUGAUUGACAAGUUUGUCUUUGUUUAUCUGGAUGAUAUCCUGAUUUUCUCCCGCAAUCUCGUGGAACACGUCACCCACGUCCGCUCCGUUCUCCGUCGCCUCCUGGACAACUCCUUGUUCGUCAAGGCGGAGAAGUGCGAGUUCCAUCCUCCGUCACCUUCCUAGGAUGUAUUAUUGCUAAGGACAGCCUUCAGAUGGAUCCAGCCAAGGUCUCUGCUGUGACAUCCUGGGCUACCCCGGAGACACGCAAGCAGCUGCAGCGUUUCUGGGGUUCGCCAACUUCUAUCGGCGUUUCAUCCGAGGGUUCAGCUCCAUUGCCUCCCCCCUCUCGGCCCUCACCUCACCCAAGGUUCCUUUCCGUUGGUCUGAUGCUGCUCAAGUGUCCUUCGAAGCCCUCAAGACCCGCUUCACCACCUCCCCCAUCCUCCAGAUCCCCGAACGUCAGUUCAUUGUGGAGGAGGACACAUCUGGUGUGGGAGUAGGGGGAUCCUCUCCCAGCGUUCAUCCUCCGACCAGAAGGUCCACCCGUGUGCUUUUUUCUCUCGUCGCCUAACCCCCCCGGAGAGAAAUUAUGACAUUGGAAACAGGGAGCUUCUGGCGGUGAAGCUGGCCCUGGAGGAGUGGUGGCACUGGCUAGAGGGAACCAGGGUUCCGUUCCUGGUUUGGACUGAUCACCGAAACCUGGAGUAUAUCCGAACCGCCAAGAGACUAAACUCCAGACAGGCCCGCUGGUCAUUGUUUUUCUACCGGUUUAAUUUCACCCUGUCCUAUCGACCUGGCUCUCGGAACACUAAACCAGAUGCUCUUUCUCGACAGUUCCCCGAGUCCCCUGAUGAGACGGCAGAACCCUCCACCAUUGUCCCAGCCUCCUGCCUUGUCGCUGCUGUCACCUGGGAGAUUGAGGAGAAGCCCCCCUCCGCUCCGACGUGCUCCAGUGGGGUCACGCUUCCCGACUCACCUGCCAUCCCGGCAUCCAGCGGACCCAGGACUUCCUGCAACGGCGCUUCUGGUGGCCGUCACUGGAGGAGGACGUCCGGGGCUUCGUCAACGCAUGUCCCGUGUGUAACCAGUGUAAGACCUCUCGCCGCCCCCUGCCGGCUUCCUGCACCCCUUGCCCAUUCCCCAUCGUCCCUGGUCGCACAUCUCUCUGGACUUCGUGACCGGUCUUCCCGCGUCCAAGGGCCACACUGUCGUUCUCACCCUUGUGGAUCGAUUUAGUAAGCUGGCCCAUUUCAUUCCCCUUACUAAACUCCCCUCUGCCAGAGAGACUGCGGACCUGCUCCUCCACCACGUCUUCCGCCUCCAUGGAUUACCCAACGAUGUCGUCUCUGACCGGGGUCCCCAGUUCACCUCGGUCUUCUGGAGAGAGUUCUGCAGCCUAGUCGGGGCCACCGUCAGUCUAUCUUCCGGCUUCCAUCCCCAGUCAAAUGGCCAGACCGAGAGGGUUAAUCAGGACCUGGAGACCACCCUUCGAUGCCUGUGCGCCUACGGGUACCUGCCACCCCUAUUCCCCCGACCUGGAGAAGGAGUCUUCCUGCCCCUCGGUCCAAGCCCUGAUCCGUCGUUGUCGACGCACCUGGACCCGGGCGCGCUCUGCUCUCUCAAGGGCUGCAGAUCGCCACGCUUCUGCUGCCAACAAGCACCGCACGCCGGCUCCUGCCUACCGUCUUGGCCAGAAAGUCUGGCUCUCCACCCACCCGUCUCAAGGUGGAGAGUCGCAAGCUGGCUCCCAAGUUCAUUGGACCAUUCCCCAUAAUCCGCAUCAUUAACCCUGUGGCGGUACGCCUUCAGCUUCCUCGCUCCAUGAGGAUCCAUCCCACCUUCCAUGUCUCCAGGGUCAAACCUGUCCAGGAGAGCCCUCUGGCUCCUCCCGUUCCGCCCCCUCCUCCCCCUCAGCUCGUCGACGGGGGUCCGGUGUUCACCGUCCGGCGUCUCCUCCGCUCCCGCCGCCGUGGACGUGGGGUCCAGUAUCUGGUGGACUGGGAGGGGUACGGUCCGGAGGAGCGCUCCUGGAUCCCAGCUCGCUUCAUCAUGGACCCCAGCCUUAUCUCUGACUUCCACCGAUCCCAGCCUGACCAACCUGCCCCGUCAUCCCGCCAGCCCGCUACGGUUCCACCGGCGAGUGGUUUCUCUGACAGAAGGGACUCCGAUGUCGCGUCCUCCUCCUCUUUGGAGGACGCAAUCUCUGAGGCCUCGGAGGAAUUCUAACCCUCCUCCGGGCCCCCUCCACCCUCCCUGUUUGGUUUAGGACGUCUGGAGCCGUCCCUUGCCGGGGGGGGUACUGUCAUGAUCCGCCCCUGGUUUUCUCAUUCACCUGCCUGCCACCCUGAUCACUCCCAAUUAACCCAACCACCUUCACCUGUGUUUCCCCUAUAUCAGUCCUCUCCUCCCAAACAUUCCCUGCCAGAUUGUCUCUUGUGUUUCACAGUGCUUUCCCGCGAUUCUACUCCUGACCUACCACCGCUCCUGCCUGCUCUCUGAUCCCUGCCUGUCUGACUAUUCUCCCGGUUCCUGAUCCCUGUCUGACUCUCCUUCUGGUUCCUGAUCCUCGCCUGUCUGACUCUCCUGCCGGUUCCUGAUCCCUGCCUGUCUGACUCUCCUUCUGGUUCCUGAUCCUCGCCUGUCUGACUCUCCUGCCGGUUCCUGAUCCCCGCCUGUCUGACUACCCCGUUGGUUCCUGAUCCCUGCUUGUCUGACUACUCGCCUGUCUACGAAAUAAACUAUUGACUCUGUUCCACGCUCGUCGCCAGCC
ensembl:lncRNA